UACGUAGGGGGCAAGCGUUGUCCGGAUUUAUUGGGCGUAAAGAGCGUGUAGGCGGUUAGGUAGGUCCGUUGUGAAAACUCGAGGCUCAACCUCGAGACGCCGAUGGAAACCAUGUGGCUAGAGUCCGGAAGAGGAGAGUGGAAUUCCCGGUGUAGCGGUGAAAUGCGCAGAUAUCGGGAAGAACACCCGUGGCGAAGGCGGCUCUCUGGGACGGUACUGACGCUGAGACGCGAAAGCGUGGGGAGCGAACAGG
rnacentral:rRNA from 1 species